UACGUAGGGUGCGAGCGUUAAUCGGAAUUACUGGGCGUAAAGCGUGCGCAGGCGGUUCGUUAAGUCAGAUGUGAAAGCCCCGGGCUCAACCUGGGAACGGCAUUUGAAACUGGCGGGCUAGAGUGCGGCAGAGGGGGAUGGAAUUCCGCGUGUAGCAGUGAAAUGCGUAGAUAUGCGGAGGAACACCGAUGGCGAAGGCAGCCCCCUGGGAUAACACUGACGCUCAUGCACGAAAGCGUGGGGAGCAAACAGG
rnacentral:rRNA from 1 species